UACGAAGGGUGCAAACGUUGCUCGGAAUUACUGGGCGUAAAGGGCUCGUAGGCGGCCAACUAAGUCAGACGUGAAAUCCCUCGGCUUAACCGGGGAACUGCGUCUGAUACUGGAUGGCUGGAGUUUGGGAGAGGGAUGCGGAAUUCCAGGUGUAGCGGUGAAAUGCGUAGAUAUCUGGAGGAACACCGGUGGCGAAGGCGGCAUCCUGGACCAACACUGACGCUCAUGCACGAAAGCGUGGGGAGCAAACAGG
rnacentral:rRNA from 1 species